rnacentral:rRNA from 1 species
CGUUCGUAGUUGAACUUGUGCUUCAUACGGGUAGUACAACUACAAUUGUGGAUUGUACAUCACCUUAUGUAUGUAAGCGUAUUAUCGGUGGAGUUCUAAUAUAUAAUGGUACUCGUAUUGUUAUGUAUACCUCCUAUUUAAACCUGCUUCAGUGCUCUUCAUCGAGUGCUGUUGUGGGCCGAUACAGUUACUUUGAACAAAUUAGAGUGCUUAAAGCAGGCUCCAAAUGCCUGAAUAUUUUGUGCAUGGAAUAAUGAAAUAAGAUUUCUGAUCUACUUUCAUUGGUUUUUAGAUCAAGAGAUAAUGAUAAAUAGAAGCAGUUUGGGGGCAUUAGUAUUACGACGCCGAGAGGU